rnacentral:rRNA from 1 species
UACGGAGGAUGCAAGCGUUAUCCGGAAUGAUUGGGCGUAAAGCGUCCGCAGGUGGCCGUGUAGGUCUGCUGUUAAAGAGUGAGGCUCAACCUCAUAAAGGCAGUGGAAACUACAUGGCUAGAGUGCGUUCGGGGCAGAGGGAAUUCCUGGUGUAGCGGUGAAAUGCGUAGAGAUCAGGAAGAACACCGGUGGCGAAAGCACUCUGCUGGGCCGACACUGACACUGAGAGACGAAAGCUAGGGGAGCGAAUGGG